rnacentral:rRNA from 1 species
CCGGCGCACGGGUGAGUAACACGUAUCCAACCUGCCGUCUACUCUUGGACAGCCUUCUGAAGGAAGAUUAAUACAAGAUGGCAUCAUGAGUCCGCAUGUUCACAUGAUUAAAGGUAUUCCGGUAGACGAUGGGGAUGCGUUCCAUUAGAUAGUAGGCGGGGUAACGGCCCACCAGUCUUCGAUGGAUAGGGGUUCUGAGAGGAAGGUCCCCCACAUUGGAACUGAGACACGGUCCAA